AUUACUCAUAAAUAAGUAAUUAUUACUUACCCAUACAAGUAUUACUAUUAACUGAUACUGCAUAAAUGAGAGGACGUACACGAUGGAAAUUUGGACUAAACUUUUAAGCGAUCUUUUUUCAGACACGGUCGGCAUUGCCUCAUUUAGUGUCAUAGCCCUCACCUUUAUUAUUGUCAGUGUACUUAUCAGUAUGUUUAUUGUGAAGAGUCGAUAAGGUAAUAACGACGGGUUAAUUAC
rnacentral:misc_RNA from 1 species